CGAAGAGGGUAUGGUUUUCUGUGAUCUUAUUGGUAAGGUUUCCAUCUCAGGUCAUUGAGCUAUUUGAUGAAAUACUCUAGUGUUCUUAUUUGUUUUCUAAAUUCAUUUCUGAAUCAUGAUGCAUGGGCAGUUGGGAAAAGCAAUAUCUUCACCUUGGCAAUGGUUUCAUGUGGAAACAGAUUAUUUUGACCACUCUGGAUCUCCCAGAUAUAUUUUCGAAGAGGUAUGGGUAAUGAUUAAAUUGUUCCUCUAGACGACUCAUCAAAACAACUUGUGGACGUAAUGUCACAAUACUCUUGUGGGUGAUUGCACUUGGUGCGAUGAUAUUACACGGUGAAGCUGCGUUGGUUCUUUUGUACAACAAACACCAAGGUUGUGGAACGUACAAUCAUUGAGUAUUUCUGACAUAAAAAGAGCAACUGAAAUAUCCUUGAAGAAACACUAAUGAUGAUCCACAAAUACGCAUGACAUUAGCACUCCAUGAGAUAUUUUUGAGGCAAACAUCCACAAAAUGGUUUAAAUGCUGAGGUCACGUUCAGUGGUUGGCAAACAAUUGAAAUUUAACCCGAAUUAUUUGGAUCAAGUUCACGUACACCCUCUGCCAAAAUAUUUCACAUGGAGUUAGCCAUAGAAUUUCAAUUGACAAAACAACCAAAAUGUUAUUCUUUUUAAAAAUUUUAAUUUUCUUUUAUUUCAUAUCUCUUUUUAGUAUGAAAUGCACCAGUCGGGGAAUAUAUAUGUAUAUAUUUAUAUGGAGGAUGUAUUACCUUUAAAAGCUUACCUUAUAUUAUUGAAGAAAGGAAAACACAUUUACUGUUUGGAGAUGGAUGGUGUCAG
rnacentral:lncRNA from 1 species